rnacentral:rRNA from 1 species
CCUACGGGUGGCAUCAGUGGGGAAUAUUGCACAAUGGGGGAAACCCUGAUGCAGCGACGCCGCGUGAGUGAAGAAGUAAUUCGUUAUGUAAAGCUCUAUCAGCAGGGAAGAAAAUGACGGUACCUGAGUAAGAAGCCCCGGCUAACUACGUGCCAGCAGCCGCGGUAAUACGUAGGGGGCAAGCGUUAUCCGGAUUUACUGGGUGUAAAGGGAGCGUAGACGGCAGUGCAAGUCUGGAGUGAAAGGCGGGGGCUCAACCCCCGGACUGCGGUGGGAACUGGGCGGCUGGAGUGCAGCAGAGGCAUGUGGAAUGCGUGGUGUAGCGGUGAAAUGCGUAGAUAUUGGGCGGAACACCAGUGGCGAAGGCAGCGUGCGGUGCUGUAACUGACGUUGAGGCUCGAAAGCGUGGGGAGCGAACAGGAUUAGAUACCCGAGUAGUC